rnacentral:rRNA from 1 species
UACGUAGGCAGCGAGCGUUGUUCGGAGUUACUGGGCGUAAAGCGUGCGUAGGCGGUGGUCCAAGUCUGGUGUGAAAUCUCCCGGCUCAACCGGGAGGGUGCGCCGGAAACUGGGCCGCUGGAGUGCCGGAGAGGCAAGCGGAAUUCCUGGUGUAGCGGUGAAAUGCGUAGAUAUCAGGAGGAACACCCGUGGUGUAGACGGCUUGCUGGACGGCAACUGACGCUGAGGCACGAAAGCGUGGGGAGCAAACAGG